UACGUAGGGCGCGAGCGUUGUCCGGAAUUAUUGGGCGUAAAGGGCUCGUAGGCAGUCUGUUGCGUCGGGAGUGAAAAUUCACAGCUUAACUGUGAACUUGCUUCCGAUACGGGCAGACUUGAGGUAUUCAGGGGAGAACGGAAUUCCUGGUGUAGCGGGUGAAAUGCGCAGAUAUCAGGAGGAACACCGUGGCGAAGGCGGU
rnacentral:rRNA from 1 species